AGUGAACGCUGGCGGUAGGCCUAACACAUGCCAGUCGAACGGCAGCACAGUAAGAGCUUGCUCUUACGGGUGGCGAGUGGCGGACGGGUGAGGAAUACAUCGGAAUCUACUUUUUCGUGGGGGAUAACGUAGGGAAACUUACGCUAAUACCGCAUACGACCUACGGGUGAAAGCAGGGGAUCUUCGGACCUUGCGCGAUUGAAUGAGCCGAUGCCGGAUUAGCUAGUUGGCGGGGUAAAGGCCCACCAAGGCGACGAUCCGUAGCUGGUCUGAGAGGAUGAUCAGCCACACUGGAGCUGAGACACGGUCCAGACUCCUACGGGAGGCAGCAGUGGGGAAUAUUGGACAAUGGGCGCAAGCCUGAUCCAGCCAUACCGCGUGGGUGAAGAAGGCCUUCGGGUUGUAAAGCCCUUUUGUUGGGAAAGAAAAGCAGCAGGUUAAUACCCCGCUGUUCUGACGGUACCCAAAGAAUAAGCACCGGCUAACUUCGUG
rnacentral:rRNA from 1 species